AAACAGCAAAAAUGUUCAGUAAAGUAAGAUCUACAAAUAAGUCAACAGGACCAAAAUGGUCUGUUGACCCCUUUAGGAGUUAUUGCCCUUUAUAGUCAAUUUUUAACCAUUUUUCGUAAAUCUUGGUCAUCUUUUUACAAAAAUCUUCUCCUCUGAAACUACUGGGCCAAAUUAAACAAAACUUGACCACAAUCAUCAUUGGGGUAUCUAGUUAAAAAAAUGUGUCCGGUGAACUGGCCAGCCAACCAAGAUGGCCGCCAUGGCUAAAAAUAGAACAUAGGGGUAAAAUGCAGUUUUUGGCUUAUCAACUCAAAAAACCAAAGCAUUUAGAGCAAAUCUGUCAUCAGGUAAAAUUGUUUAUCAGGUCAAGAUCUAUCUGCCCUGAAAUUUUGAGAUGAAUUGGACAACCCGUUGAUAGGUUGCUGCCCCUGAAUUGGUAAUUUUAAGGACAUUUUGCUGUUUUUGGUUAUUAUCUUGAAUAUUAUUAUAGAUAGAGAUAAACUGUAAACAGCAAAAAUGUUCAGCAAAGUAAGAUCUACAAAUAAGUCAACAGGACCAAAAUGGUCUGUUGAUUUCUUUAGGAGUUAUUGCCCUUUAUAGUCAAUUUUUAACCAUUUUGUAAAUCUUAGUUAUCUUUUACAAAAACCUUCUCCUCUGAAACUACUGGGUCAAAUUAAACCAAACUUGGCCACAAUCAUCAUUGGGGUAAUUAGUUUAAAAAUUGUGUCCCGUGACCUGGCCAACCAACCAAGAUGGCGGCCAUGGCUAAAAAUAGAACAUAGGGGUGAAAUGUAGAUUUUGGCUUAUAACUCUGAAACCGCAGCCUUUAGAGCAAAUUUGACGGGGUAAAAUUGUUGAUCAGGUCAAGAUCUAUCUGCCCUGAAAUUUUCAGAUGAAUCUGACAACCUGUUGUUGGGUUGCUGCCCCUGAAUUGGUAAUUUUAAGGAAAUUUUGCUGUUUUUGGUUAUUAUCUUGAAUAUUAUUAUAGAUAGAUUAAACUGUAAACAUCAAUAAUGUUAAGCAAAGUAAGAUUUACAAAUAAGUCAACAUGACGGAAAUGGUCAAUUGACCCCUAAGGAGUUAUUGUCCUUUAUAGUCAAUUUUUAACAAUUUUCAUAAAAUUUGUAAAUUUUAACUAACAUUUUCCACUGAAACUACUGGGCCAAGUUCAUUAUAGAUAGAGAUAAUUGUAAGUAGCAAGAAUGUUCAGUAAAGUAAGAUGUACAAACACAUCACCAUCACCAAAACACAAUUUUGUCAUGAAUCUAUCUGCUUCCUUUGUUUAAUAUUCACAUAGACCAAGGUGAGCGACACAGGCUCUUUAGAGCCUCUAGUUUAUAUUAAC
rnacentral:lncRNA from 1 species